rnacentral:rRNA from 1 species
UGGGGAAUAUUGCACAAUGGGCGCAAGCCUGAUGCAGCAACGCCGCGUGAGGGAAGACGGUCUUCGGAUUGUAAACCUUUGUCUUUGGUGAAGAAUAGAUGACGGUAGCCAAGGAGGAAGCCACGGCUAACUACGUGCCAGCAGCCGCGGUAAUACGUAGGUGGCGAGCGUUGUCCGGAUUUACUGGGCGUAAAGGAUGCGUAGGCGGAUGCUUAAGCCAGAUGUGAAAUACCCGAGCUUAACUUGGGUGCUGCAUUUGAAACUGGGCAUCUAGAGUGUCGGAGAGGAAAGCGGAAUUCCUAGUGUAGCGGUGAAAUGCGUAGAGAUUAGGAAGAACACCAGUGGCGAAGGCGGCUUUCUGGACGAUAACUGACGCUGAGGCAUGAAAGCGUGGGGAGCAAACAGGAUUAGAUACCCUGGUAGU